CUGGUGUACGCCAGCGUGCUGUGCGAGAAGCACCCGGCGCGCUGCGGAGCCAUGUUCAAGUACCUGGACACCAUCCGCAAGCUGCACGCCACCUACGGGGGCACCUCCUGGAUGAACUACGACGAGGACUUUAGGCGGCGGGCGGCGAAGAACCCCUCUCUGCCCUGGGGUGACGUCGACCUGGACCUGUGGAUGAAGUGGAUGGCGCCGCUCAAGUCGCUUGUCCCCAGGCACUCGCGGAUUGAGGGCGAGACACAGCCCUCGCCGGCCCCGCCGCCCCCGCCGGCGCAGAGCCCCAAGCAGGAGGAGAAAAGCCAGACUCCAUGAAAGCAGAAGGCCAGUUGGGAUGGCAGUCAGACUAAUUGGCCUGACUCCGUUGGUGUUUAAGUGGAGCUCUGGUAUUCUAGUGCAUUCUUUUACCUCUGCUUCUGUUGCGUUGCAAGCUGUGCUAGAGAAGACGUAGGAAAUUCAUUUUACCCAAUCAGCAAUUAUAACAAUGGACUACAAACCUGCAGAGCAAGCCAGUUUGCUGGAAAACAGGAAUUCCUGCAGCGCAGCACUUGUCACAGACUAUCCAAAGAGGGCAAAGAUUCAGGAAGGUGAAUAAAUUGAACAUUGGUUGAAUGAGGUCAGGAACAGUCUCCCGGAGGAGAACCCUGCUCUAAAAUACUACUUUGAAAGUAAAAGCCAAUUUAAUGUGCAGAUUAAACCUUCUCAUUUGACCAAACUGUGUGCAAUCCUGGAUCUUUGCAGAUCACAACCGGACACUUCAAAACCUUAUGUAUUAUAUUUGUUUAAAAAAAAAUAAAUCAUAACUUGUCUUGUUACAGCUGUUACUUUUGCCAUUUCAUUGAGAAUAUUUGCAACAUAAAUGUGUAUUUGACUCAAAACAGUAUCAUACACUUGCUAUAAUAACUCAGGUUGUCAACAGAAUUAUUCUGUUAGGCUCAGUAUCACCUCUCCAUUGUUCUUUAAAAAAUGAGUUAACCAUUGCUGUCAUUGCCAGAUAGCCCAACUGUGCAUUACAAAAUUCUUCAGCUAUAGUAAUUGACCUAAAUUAUAAUUUUGUUUUUAUUCUUGUUAGAAUACUUAAGAUCCUGAACAUCAGACUACACCUUUGUAGUCUGGUGUUCAUGAAAAUUAUGUUCGCUGGUUCAUGGUUUAAUCGUUCUGCAUCUCAGUGUUUUGUUUUCUUUUCCUUUUUCCUUGCAUACUAGGGGUUAUGAUCAAGGUAAUACUAUGAUCCAGUAACACGCAUGAUGGUAAGGGUUUACCUUUAGUUGUUUCAGGAAAAAGUUGCCAUUAUCUCCUCUCCUUUACCUUUCUCGAUAGUUCCAAUAAUAUGCGUAACAUGGAGUGUUUGUAAAUUAAUAUCAAACUGUUUGUGACUUCACCUAAAUAAAUUUUUAUAUUCAAAUGC